rnacentral:rRNA from 1 species
AAUAGAUACCCCGGUAGUCCACCCCGUAAACGUUGGGAACUAGUUGUGGGGUCCUUUCCACGGAUUCCGUGACGCAGCUAACGCAUUAAGUUCCCCGCCUGGGGAGUACGGCCGCAAGGCUAAAACUCAAAGGAAUUGACGGGGACCCGCACAAGCGGCGGAGCAUGCGGAUUAAUUCGAUGCAACGCGAAGAACCUUACCAAGGCUUGACAUACACCAGAACACCCUAGAAAUAGGGGACUCUUUGGACACUGGUGAACAGGUGGUGCAUGGUUGUCGUCAGCUCGUGUCGUGAGAUGUUGGGUUAAGUCCCGCAACGAGCGCAACCCUCGUUCUAUGUUGCCAGCACGUAAUGGUGGGAACUCAUGGGAUACUGCCGGGGUCAACUCGGAGGAAGGUGGGGAUGACGUCAAAUCAUCAUGCCCCUUAUGUCUUGGGCUUCACGCAUGCUACAAUGGCCGGUACAAAGGGCUGCAAUACCGUGAGGUGAGCGAAUCCCAAAAGCGGUCCAGUUCGGAUUGAGGUCUGCAACUCGACCUCA